AGUGAACGCUGGCGGUAGGCCUAACACAUGCAAGUCGAACGGCAGCACAGUAAGAGCUUGCUCUUACGGGUGGCGAGUGGCGGACGGGUGAGGAAUACAUCGGAAUCUACUUUUUCGUGGGGGAUAACGUAGGGAAACUUACGCUAAUACCGCAUACGACCUACGGGUGAAAGCAGGGGAUCUUCGGACCUUGCGCGAUUGAAUGAGCCGAUGUCGGAUUAGCUAGUUGGCGGGGUAAAGGCCAACCAAGGCGACGAUCCGUAGCUGGUCUGAGAGGAUGAUCAGCCACACUGGAACUGAGACACGGUCCAGACUCCGACGGGAGGCAGCAGUGGGGAAUAUUGGACAAUGGGGGCAAGCCUGAUCCAGCCAUACCGCGUGGGUGAAGAAGGCCUUCGGGUUGUAAAGCCCUUUUGUUGGGAAAGAAAAGCAGCAGGUUAAUACCCCGCUGUUCUGACGGUACCCAAAGAAUAAGCACCGGCUAACUUCGUG
rnacentral:rRNA from 1 species